GAUGAACGCUGGCGGCGUGCCUAAUACAUGCAAGUCGAACGAAUCUUUUUUAGAGAUGAGUGGCGAACGGGUGAGUAAUACAUAGGUAAUCUGCCCCUGUGCGGGGGAUAACAGGAGGAAACUCCUGCUAAUACCGCAUAGCCAUGAGCACCGCAUGGAGCUCAUGCCAAAUAUCCUUUAUGGGAUAGCGCAGGGAUGGACCUGUGGCGCAUUAGCUUGUUGGCGGGGCAACGGCCCACCAAGGCAACGAUGCGUAGCCGGCCUGAGAGGGCGGACGGCCACAUUGGGACUGAGACACGGCCCAGACUCCUACGGGAGGCAGCAGUAGGGAAUUUUCGGCAAUGGGGGAAACCCUGACCGAGCAACGCCGCGUGAGCGAAGAAGGCCUUCGGGUCGUAAAGCUCUGUUGUAAAGGAAGAACGUCGCAUGCAGGAAAUGGUGUGCGAGUGACGGUACUUUACCAGAAAGCC
rnacentral:rRNA from 1 species